CCUACGGGUGGCUGCAGUGGGGAAUAUUGGACAAUGGGCGAAAGCCUGAUCCAGCCAUGCCGCGUGUGUGAAGAAGGCCUUCGGGUUGUAAAGCACUUUCAGUGGGGAAGAAAGCCUUGGGGCUAAUACCCUCGAGGAAGGACAUCACCCACAGAAGAAGCACCGGCUAACUCCGUGCCAGCAGCCGCGGUAAUACGGAGGGUGCGAGCGUUAAUCGGAAUUACUGGGCGUAAAGCGCGCGUAGGCGGUCUGAUAAGCCGGUUGUGAAAGCCCCGGGCUCAACCUGGGAACGGCAUCCGGAACUGUCAGGCUAGAGUGCAGGAGAGGAAGGUAGAAUUCCCGGUGUAGCGGUGAAAUGCGUAGAGAUCGGGAAGAAUACCAGUGGCGAAGGCGGCCUUCUGGACUGACACUGACGCUGAGGUGCGAAAGCGUGGGUAGCAAACAGGAUUAGAUACCCCAGUAGUC
rnacentral:rRNA from 1 species